GCCAGGCAUGGUGGUGCACGCCUGUAGUCCCAGCUAUUUGGGAGGUUGAGAUGGGAGCUUCUCUUGAGUUCACAAAUUCGAGAUAGGCCUGGGCAAUGUAGAGAGACCCAGUCUCAA
rnacentral:sRNA from 1 species